CCUACGGGAGGCAGCAGUGGGGAAUUUUGCGCAAUGGGGGAAACCCUGACGCAGCAACGCCGCGUGAGUGAUGAAGGCCUUCGGGUCGUAAAGCUCUGUCAGAGGGAAAGAAAUGCGGGAGGGUUAAUACCCCUUUUGCUUGACGGUACCCUCAAAGGAAGCACCGGCUAACUCCGUGCCAGCAGCCGCGGUAAU
rnacentral:rRNA from 1 species